GGGGGUGUUACGGCAUUCGACAGUUUGUCGAGGGUGUCAAAAGCAUGUCGCAGGCUCGUCUGCGUAAAAACGGAAUGCAAAAAUAAAUGCAAACAAAAAAUCUAUGAACUCUCAAGAGUUCGCUCUUGCUGCAUAAUUUAACGCAGCAUGUCGACCUGUGGUUUUCUGUUCCCUCAGCAAUCGGCAUCAUAAAAACAGACAACGCCGCCCUAUGCUCUUAAAGGCGGUUGUCAUUAAAGAGCUUACCGAAUCGAGGUUUGUGCUUGCACCGAGAUAAGGAAAAUUCAAGCAAUCACUAAGCAUGUAGAAGUUGCCAUCUUAAACAGAUUGGACAGGAGUUCAACUCUCCUCAUCUCCACCA
rnacentral:tmRNA from 1 species